CCCAGACUCCUACGGGAGGCAGCAGUGAGGAAUAUUGGUCAAUGGGCGGAAGCCUGAACCAGCCAAGUCGCGUGAGGGAAUAAGGCCCUACGGGUCGUAAACCUCUUUUGCCGGGGAGCAACGGGGUCCUUGCGAGGGCCCGAUGAGAGUACCCGGAGAAAAAGCAUCGGCUAACUCCGUGCCAGCAGCCGCGGUAAUACGGAGGAUGCGAGCGUUAUCCGGAUUUAUUGGGUUUAAAGGGUGCGUAGGCGGGCUGUUAAGUCAGCGGUCAAAUGUCGGGGCUCAACCCCGGCCUGCCGUUGAAACUGGCGGCCUUGAGUGGGCGAGAAGUAUGCGGAAUGCGUGGUGUAGCGGUGAAAUGCAUAGAUAUCGCGCAGAACUCCGAUUGCGAAGGCAGCAUGCCGGCUCCACACUGACGCUGAGGCACGAAAGCGUGGGUAUCGAACAGGAUUAGAUACCCCGGUA
rnacentral:rRNA from 1 species